rnacentral:rRNA from 1 species
CGAGGACGAACGCUGGCGGCGUGCUUAACACAUGCAAGUCGAACGGAAAGGCCUCUUUCGGGGGUACUCGAGUGGCGAACGGGUGAGUAACACGUGAGUAACCUGCCCUUGACUUUGGGAUAACUUCAGGAAACUGGGGCUAAUACCGGAUAGGAGCUCCGGCUGCAGUGGUGGGGGUUGGAAAGUUUCGGCGGUUGGGGAUGGACUCGCGGCUUAUCAGCUUGUUGGUGGGGUAGUGGCUUACCAAGGGCUUUGACGGGUAGCCGGCCUGAGAGGGUGACCGGCCACAUUGGGACUGAGAUACGGCCCAGACUCCUACGGGAGGCAGCAGUGGGGAAUAUUGCACAAUGGGUGGAAGCCUGAUGCAGCAACGCCGUGUGCGGGAUGACGGCCUUCGGGUUGUAAACCGCUUUCGCUCAUGACGAAGCUUUGUGUGACGGUAGUGGGUAAAGAAGCACCGGCUAACUACGUG